GUUUUAAGCAGUGGUGGUGAUCUUUGGUUAUUUGUGCUGAAGGAAGAUACAUCAACUACCAACAUCAGAGACUUAAAGAAUCAUGAAUCAACAAGGGUGUUCGAGAAAUCAUCAAAAAGCUAAAAACUUUCUUUCAGCUGGAUCACUAGUAGUUCUACGAAACAAACAAAUACUAGAACAGAAGAAAAAAAAGAAGAAGAAGAAGAAGAAGAAGAAGAAGAAGAGCACAAGCUACAUAAAUGCAAAGGAAAAGAAUAAAACACAGAAGGAAAAGAAGAAGUCAAAAAAUGUUCCACCUAUAUCUAAAGUACCAGAACAAGUGCAACAGGUGCUAGCUAUACCUCAAGUAUCAGAACAAGUGCAACAGGUGUCUCCGGAUUCCGCCUUUCUAGCAACACCUAUAGAGGAGCAAGUGCGACAAUAAUUACCAGACUCCACCAUUCAUGCAUCACAACCCACAGUUGAACGAGUGCAGCAUAAUCAGUCACAACAUCCUAAUUUACAAGAAAAUGAACAAUCCACAGAAGACAAGCCCUUCAACUAAUAAAAGAAAAAGAGGAGCUACACAAAUGCAAGCAGUACAUGGACGGACUGACCGUCAAUUGAUAGUGCUAAAUGAGUUGAACCAGCCUAUUGGUCCAACUAAAGCAGUAGUCACUGAAUUUUCCAACUUUCUUGGAACAUUGGCAAGGAAUGGGACAUUUUAUACUCUUAAUCUCAGUUGGACAAAGUUGAAGACACACGAUGAUAUGUGGAGUUAUAUUCAGGUUCUAAGUUCUCAAUAUUUUGAUUUCUUCUGGAAUGCUUUUCACAGUUUUUACACUAAUCCAAUUCAACCAAAUUAUAGGAGAAAUAUGACAUUCCCAACAAGGGAAAAAAUUGGGCUAUGAGAUAAUUAAUGUUGCGUUUAGAGGUCAUAAGUCCAGACUCAAGAACUGUCACUUUUAUGCCUAUACCAAUGAUGAAAUUCGAAGGGCAAAAAGACCUAUCUCUAUUCCAGAACCUGUAUUUGAGGAUCUCCUUAAGCAUUGGCAUUCCGAAGAAGAUGAGGUUGAAAUGGAGAGAGUAGAGACUCAAGAAAGUAAAGUGGUACUCAAUCAACUGAUGCAUUCACCAUAGUUAUGGGGCCUGAUCAUCCUGGUCGAGUAAGACUACUCAGACGCGGUGUUACCAAGACUCUUUUGAAAUAGAAAGCAAGUGAUUCUGGAUCCUCUUUAAAACUUGAUGGACUGGUGGAGAAGAGAUUGGAUGAACUAGAAGAGAGGAUGCAACAAAGAAUGAAUGUUCAAAGAGAUGUCAUUGAGCGUGAAGUUACAAUGAAUAUCAUUGCACAACUUCAGUGUCUAAAUACAGGAUUAACACUUGAUCCUAAUAUGCUAGGAUUCAAUGUUCAUUCGUCAGGAUAAGCCCUUGCUAAUCAACUAAUAAACCGUCCAUCUGUUGGUAGUAAUAAUCAAGGUGUCCAAAAUGAAGAAAGAGGUGAAGAAAAUGACGAAGACAUUGAUCUUACUUGAGAAGAUUUUUGAGUUGUGGAUAAAUUCUCUAAUAUCAAUAGUUUUGUGUUGAAUUUUAUGAAACUUAUC